AAUAGAAAGAUGCACAGCAACAUGGAAUCUAUUUGUUAACUGUGUUAUUAGCUGGUAUUUCCUAAUAAUAAUAUCAUUAUUAGCUAAUGAAAAUAAGAAAAAAUUAUGAUAUUUUGCGGUGGGUUAAUGUUGCUGAUGGGUGAUAUAGUGGCUAAAUGCUCAGACUCCAUAAUUAAUUAUACAUGUCUGAUGCCCUUCUCUUCCUUUUCCUUCAUGUAUUUCCACCCUUGUUUUAGAUCUUGUUUGGGAGCAGCAUUUUGUCUAACUAUAUUGUAGCUCAUGAAAAUGUGGAUUAUUUUUAUAUUUAAACAUAUCUUUUGGGUAGGCUUGGCAGCUUGACAAGUACCUUAUUUUCAAUUCUGGUACAGCAUGUCUAAGUGGUUAGGGUGCCAGACUUGAACUCCAGAGAUUUGGGUGCAGGAAUGCAUUCUACUUGAUUUAAAGUACAUUAGUACAUCUAUUGGGCUGUUGUCACAUUACUGUUUCGAUGCCUUUUCUGCCCAGUUGUUUACUGGGCACCCUUCACUUAUAGCCCAGGGUCAAUUGUUACUCCAGUCAACAUACUGGACAACAGGCAACAUACUCGAUCUAUAGUUCUUAGGUUCAAUGUACAUGAUACCACAGUAUAUUUAAUGCAGCUUCUAUUGUUUUUAUUGACAGAAAUUUAAGCCUCCAAAACCAAGAUUCCAACCAUUCCCUCAGGAUGAGGAGUUGAGAUGCAAGCACAGAAGUGAGCCUGUGGAUGCAAAGUCAAUCCAGCCCUCUUCACAUGAUGCUUUUGAGGGAAUGCGGACGGCAGAUAUUAUUCGACAAGAGAUUGAAGAUCUUGAAAGACUCUUGCAAGGUAACACGGCC